UUCUAUUUAAUUUUUCUAGACACUCUGAAAAAAAUGAAAAAACAAAAGCCUCUAAAUAAAAAAAAUGUCGGGCGCAAAAAUGUCCGAAAAAAUAAAUUGACCAUACCAAAAUGAUCAGCGUGAAAUAAACUUCUCGAAAAUAUACAAUGUUUGAUUGAAAUAAGUUUUUACCGGUUAACAGGCCCAGACUGAUCAAAAU
rnacentral:lncRNA from 1 species